rnacentral:rRNA from 1 species
UGACCUCAAAUCGGGUGUGAGAACUACCCG